rnacentral:rRNA from 1 species
GGAGGGAAAGUUGAAAAGCACUUUGAAAAGAGAGUGCAAGAGAACGUGAAACCGUUAUAGUGGAAGCGGAUGGAGCCGACGUAUCCAGUGCGUAUUUAGCCGUUGUCGGAUGCGAUUUGUUCGUUUGAAGUUCUGAAAAGUCUUCGGCGGGCAGUUGUCGUGUUCGGGAACGGUGCACUUGCGUACAGAGUGCGCCGAAUCGGUCGGACUUGGCGUUCAAAGUGCGGUCAAGAGGACCAGUUUGCAAGAACUGGAAACCUAGGCCGAACGGGCGACGCAUGAGUCUGGCUGCGUUGCAUAAGGCUGGCUGAAUUUGAAGCGAUCGGAGGAGUUUCGGCAUUGUUGGGAUGUGACGCAUGCGUCUUAUUCCGCAGUUCGUCUCUUCGCUGGGCGUUUCUCGGCCGGUAUUCGGUGUCUAGUCGGUCACCCAUCCGACCCGUCUUGAAACACGGACCAAGGAGUUUAAGGUUUGCGCGAGUCAUUGGGUGCAAAACUCAAAGGCGAAAUGAAAGUGGGACACUUGGUGUCUGUGAUGCGAUCCGUGCAUGAUUCGUUGUGUGCGGAGCAGCAUCGACCCAUGACCAGAACUUGUUCUGUUGUGGAGUCUGAGCGCAAGCUUUGAGACCCGAAAG